rnacentral:rRNA from 1 species
GACCAAGCUAGUAAGGGCGUGCGGUGGAUGCCUUGGCACUGAGAGGCGAUGAAGGACGUAGCUACCUGCGAUAAGCCACGGUUUGCUGGAAUGCAAGCUACCCGUGGAUCUCCGAAUGGGGAAACCCCGCCGGGCAAACCCCGGCGAUCUCCGGCUGAACACAUAGGCCGGUGAAGCCAACCCAGGGAAUUGAAACAUCUUAGUACCUGGAGGAAAGGAAAGCAAUUUGCGACUCCGCUAGUAGUGGCGAGCGAACGCGGAACAGCCCAAACCGUAUGCAUGUAAGGCCAUAGCCGUUGUGCAUGCGGGGUUGCGGGACAUGCUGUGGAGGGGUUAUGGACCCUCCGGGAGGUUACAAAACCGUUUUUUAGUCGAACCCGUCUGGAUAUGUCGGGCCAUAGAGGGUGAAAGCCCCGUAGACGAAAAGAAGCGGUCCUCCCAUGCGUGUUCCCAAGUAGCGCGGGUCACGUGGAACCCCGUGUGAAUCUGGGAGGCCCAUCUCCUAAGGCUAAGUACUACUCAGUGACCGAUAGUGAACCAGUACCGUGAGGGAAAGGUGAAAAGCACCCCGAGAGGGGAGUGAAAUAGAACCUGAAACCGCAUGCUUACAAUCAGUGGGAGGGCUAUGGCCGCAAGGCAAAGCCUGACCGCGUGCCUUUUGCAUAAUGAGCCGGCGACUUACUCUGUGCAGCAAGGUUAAGGGCUUAUGGUCCGAAGCCGAAGCGAAAGCGAGUCUUAAUAGGGCGCAUAGUUGUACGGAGUAGACCCGAAUCCGAGUGAUCUAUCCAUGGCCAGGGUGAAAUCUCUGUAAAAGGAGAUGGAGGCCCGAACCAGUAUCGGCUGAAAACGGUUUGGAUGAGCUGUGGAUAGGGGUGAAAGGCCAAUCAAACUCGGUGAUAGCUGGUUCUCCCCGAAAUGUCUUUAGGGGCAGCGUCACGUGGUAGCGAGCGGGGGUAGAGCACUGGAUGGGCUAGGGGUCUCACCAGAUUACUGAACCCAACCAAACUCCGAAUACCGUUCGUGGAAUCGUGGCAGUAAGAAUGCGGGGGAUAAGCUCCGUAUUCGAAAGGGAAACAGCCCAGACCGCCAGCUAAGGUCCCUAAAUUGCGCUCAGUGUAAAACGAGGUGCAAUUGCACAAACAACCAGGAUGUUGGCUUAGAAGCAGCCAUUCAUUUAAAGAGUGCGUAAUAGCUCACUGGUCGAGUGAUUGUGCGCGGAAAAUGUAACGGGGCUAAGCGCAAUACCGAAGCUGCGGAUUGCUCCUUCGGGAGCAGUGGUAGGGGAGCAUUCCAUUCCGGGUUGAAGCGUGACCGUAAGGACGCGUGGACUGAAUGGAAGCGAUCAUGCCGGCAUUAGUAACGAAAAGGAGGGUGAGAAUCCCUCCCGCCGAAAGUCCAAGGGUUCCCGGGCCAGGUGACUCCUCCCGGGGUUAGUCGGGUCCUAAGCCGAGGCCGAAAGGCGUAGGCGAUGGAAAACAGGCACAAAGAUUCCUGUACCACCCUGCAACCGUCUGAGUGACGGGGUGACGCAGAAGGAUAAGACAGCUGCCUAUCGGAUGGCAGUCUAAGCGUGUGGGCCGCAGUCCAGGAAAAUCCGGAUUGCACAAGGCUGAGGCGUUAAGGGACGUGAAUCCCUCUGGGUGAAGCGGAUUGUCUGAUUCCACACUGCCGAGAAAAACCUCUAGCGAGGUUGCGGGUGCCCGUACCGUAAACCGACACAGGUGGACGAGAAGAGUAUUCUAAGGCGCUCGGGUGAUCCACUCUUAAGGAACUCGACCAAAUAGCCCCGUAUCUUCGGAAGAAGGGGUGCUUCUGGCGGUGAAGGCCCUCGCGGCCGGAGCUUCCGGAAGUGACACUAAAGUGGCUCGGGCGACUGUUUACUAAAAACAUAGGUCUCUGCCAAGUCGCAAGACAAAGUAUAGGGACUGACGCCUGCCCAAUGCCGGAAGGUUAACGGGAGAGGUCAGCGCAAGCGAAGCCUUGAACCGAAGCCCCGGUUAAUGGCGGCCGUAACUAUAACGGUCCUAAGGUAGCGAAAUUCCUUGUCGGGUAAGUUCCGACCUGCACGAAUGGCGUAACGAUCCGAGCAUUGUCUCAAGAGUGGGCCCGGUGAAGUUGUAAUACGAGUGAAGAUGCUCGUUACCCGCAUAAGGACGGAAAGACCCCGUGCACCUUUACUACAGCUUGAUAUUGGGUUUAGUGGCAAUUUGUAUAGGAUAGGUGGGAGACGUUGAAACUGGAGCGUCAGCUUCGGUGGAGUCAACCUUGGAAUACCACCCUGGUUGUUAUUGAAUCCUAACUCCGAUCCCGUGAAUCCGGGCGGAGGACAGUGUCUGGUGGGUAGUUUGACUGGGGCGGUCGCCUCCCAAAAAGUAACGGAGGCGCCCCAAGGUUCCCUCAGCAUGUUUGGAAACCAUGCGAAGAGUGUAAAGGCAUAAGGGAGCUUGACUGCGAGACCUACAAGUCGAGCAGGUGCGAAAGCAGGGCUUAGUGAUCCAGCGGUUCCGAAUGGAAGGGCCGUUGCUCAUCGGAUAAAAGGUACGCCGGGGAUAACAGGCUUAUCUCCCCCAAGAGUUCACAUCGACGGGGAGGUUUGGCACCUCGAUGUCGGCUCGUCACAUCCUGGGGCUGAAGCAGGUCCCAAGGGUUCGUCUGUUCGCCGAUUAAAGUGGUACGCGAGCUGGGUUUAAAACGUCGUGAGACAGUUUGGUCCCUAUCCUAUGCGGGCGCAGGAGAUUUGAUGGAAUCUGACCCUAGUACGAGAGGACCGGGUUGGACGAACCCAUGGUGUUCCGGUUGUCACGCCAGUGGCACAGCCGGGUAGCUAUGUUCGGAAGGGAUAAGCGCUGAAAGCAUCUAAGCACGAAGCCCAUCCAAAGAUAAGAUCUCCCUGGGCGAAAGCCCCUCAAGAGUCCUGGAAGACUACCAGGUUGAUAGGCUGGAGGUGUAAGCGCGGUGACGCAUUCAGCUGACCAGUACUAAUUACUCGUGAGGCUUGGUCUUA